UUGUAGAAUUCUGUAAGGCAAAGAAGAGAUAUUCACACAUUGUGAGCAGAGAGUGAAGAAAAUGCAGUUCAAGGCCAGCAAACUCAGGAGCUGGUGGAGAAAACAAGAGAGAACAAUUUGAUGAGGAAAAACUUCUGGCUCUGAGCGGGAGUUUACUCACCUGAGUCAUUCAUAGUUCACCUGCCUAGCACCUCUCCAGGACUGCUUGCCCUUUCUGGAUAAUGACAAAAAUCACAGUAUAUCUCUGUUGCAAGUGCUAAUGGAAGCUGGUAUCUAUUGAGCCUUCAUUCCAGGCCAGACACUGAGCACAGCAUUUUGGAUACUAUCUGCUACUAUAUCAGUUUACAAAGGGUGCAGCUCUGGCUCAGAGGACUUUCACAUCUCCCCAGGCCCAGGUAGCUCAUGACAUCAGAGCUGGGCCUCAGAUCCUCUCUCCUGUAUGUGUAAGGACUGUGCUCUUGGUCACUGCCAUGCUGCUUUUAUUUGAGGACAGUUGAUGUACCUCCUCCUCAUAGCUUUAAACUUCUAUGAAAGUUUCUAUUCUCUGAGUUUUCUGGGUUUCUUUGAAGGAGGAGGAACUCAGAACCAACAGAUGAAAUCAAACACUCAUCUCCAUCUUCCAGUAACUAAAGCAAGGUCACCCUGAAGAAAAAGUGAGCCAAUCUCUGCAUUGAGGCAUCAGCGAAAGAGGCUAAGAAGAAGAAGAUGGACCAGAGCAUGGAGCUUCUCUGUAGCACUGCCAACGCAGAUUCUCUACCUGAUUCUCCCUGGAUGAGACCCUGCAGCCAGGUGACACUUUAGACUGCUAAGGAUCCAGAUGCAUCAAGCACGGAAGUCAGAAGCCUCAGCUCCCAAUUCCUCCCAGCCCCUGCACCUAAGAGGCUUAUGAAAUUCUUCCUCCAGCAAAGUGGAUGAUCAGCUUACUUGUUAAUUACAUUGCCUGAAAUUCAAGACUCCAAAAGAUGAUCAAAUGCAGAGCAAAGUUCAAGCCUGAAAUUCAAAACCCAUCUCUGUCCCUCUCUAUGGAUUUCAGUGCAUAAUUCAGGACUUGUUCUCAGAGGGUGCUCCAGCUCUUGCAAGAAAAGCUCUUCUUGGGGUUGACAUCAGAUUUCCUCAGAAAGCCUGAAUAUCUGCUUUGUUAAGCACAAGUAAUUUUUAAUGAACUAGAAAUACUGUAUAUAGAAGGAUGGGGACAGAAGGUAAAAUCAAGGCUGAUGUGUCCUGGCAGGUAGAGUCCUGGCAGGUAGAACCCUGCCUUAAAUUCCUGCCUCAGCUCCUAGUAGCCAGGGACCCCAGUUAUGCUCCACCCCCAAAGUUUUUGGCCUUUCAGGACUUUGUUCAUACUGCCACCUCUACAUGGGAGAAUCUUUAUCUCUAUUUUCACCUAAAGGAGUUUUUGUCCAAAACUCAGCCAAGGUUCACAUCCUAGCACACCCAGAUGUUCAGCGUGAAGACUAAGAUG